CUCUUCUCUAAAUUUAAGAGUAU
rnacentral:snRNA from 1 species